ACCAUUUUAUAGCCUAGCUUGUUAUCCAUAAAUAAUUAACUUGGGUUGUCUGACUUUAGUUGUUCUAAAGCACAUCUAUUAUUAUACAAUAUUAGUUUCCCAUAAUCUGCAAAUAAUGUCUUUUAACUAUUCUGGGUUGUAUGCUUGCAUCUUUAACCAUAGGAAGCCUAUUGCAUGCACUAGAUGAUUGAGUGACCUGGUGGAUUUCUUGUUUUGUUUUCGAUUUUUUUUUUUUAAUACUAACCAGAACAUGUGUUUUUUAAUUGUGAAUAGUACUUUAGCUUUAGCUAUUCAUAGAAUGUAUUUGCUUGACUAACUUAUGGCCUUUUUUGCUAAUGCUUCAUGGUUGUCCUACAACCAUUUAGGACGCUGCAUUGGGAUACAGAUCCAUCAGUUCUUCAGCUUCACUCAGAUUCCGAUUUGGGACGAGGACCUAUUAAACUUGGAAUGGCUAAAAUCACGCAAGUCGACUUU
rnacentral:sRNA from 1 species